rnacentral:rRNA from 1 species
GACAGAGGGUGCAAACGUUGUUCGGAAUUAUUGGGCGUAAAGCGCGCGCAGGCGGUCCCUUAAGUCUGAUGUGAAAUCCCACGGCUCAACCGUGGAAGGUCAUUGGAAACUGGGGGACUUGAGUACAGAAGAGGAAAGCGGAAUUCCAAGUGUAGCGGUGAAAUGCGUAGAGAUUUGGAGGAACACCAGUGGCGAAGUCGGCUUUCUGGUCUGUAACUGACGCUGAGGCGCGAAAGCGUGGGGAGCAAACAGG